UCAAGUAAUUAAGUGCAUGUGGUGGAUGCCUUGGCAGUCAGAGGCGAUGAAAGACGUGAUAGCCUGCGAAAAGCUCCGGGGAGGCGGCAAAUAUCCUUUGAUCCGGAGAUGUCUGAAUGGGGGAACCCACCUACUUUAAGGUAGGUAUUGCAACAUGAAUACAUAGUGUUGCAAGGCGAACGAGGGGAAGUGAAACAUCUCAGUACCCUUAGGAAAAGAAAUCAAUUGAGAUUCCCUCAGUAGCGGCGAGCGAACGGGGAUCAGCCCAUUAAGUUAUGUGUGUUUUAGUGGAACGCUCUGGGAAGUGCGAACGUAGAGGGUGAUAUUCCCGUACACGAAAGGGCACACAUAAUGAUGACGAGUAGGGCGAGGCACGUGAAACCUUGUCUGAAUAUGGGGGGACCAUCCUCCAAGGCUAAAUACUCCUGACUGACCGAUAGUGAACCAGUACCGUGAGGGAAAGGCGAAAAGAACCCCUGUGAGGGGAGUGAAAUAGAUCCUGAAACCGCAUGCAUACAAGCAGUGGGAGCACCUUCGUGGUGUGACUGCGUACCUUUUGUAUAAUGGGUCAGCGACUUAUAUUCAGUAGCGAGGUUAACCGUAUAGGGGAGCCGUAGAGAAAUCGAGUCUUAAUAGGGCGUUUAGUUGCUGGGUAUAGACCCGAAACCAGGCGAUCUAUCCAUGAGCAGGUUGAAGGUUGGGUAACACUAACUGGAGGACCGAACCCACUGUCGUUGAAAAGCCAGGGGAUGACUUGUGGAUAGGGGUGAAAGGCUAAUCAAGCCUGGUGAUAGCUGGUUCUCCCCGAAAGCUAUUUAGGUAGCGCCUCGGACGAAUACCAUAGGGGGUAGAGCACUGUUUCGGCUAGGGGGUCAUCCCGACUUACCAAACCGAUGCAAACUCCGAAUACCUAUGAGUACUAUCCGGGAGACAGACUGCGGGUGCUAACGUCCGUAGUCAAGAGGAAAACAAUCCAGACCGCCAGCUAAGGCCCCAAAAUCAUAGUUAAGUGGGAAACGAUGUGGGAAGGCAUAGACAGCUAGGAGGUUGGCUUAGAAGCAGCCACCCUUUAAAGAAAGCGUAAUAGCUCACUAGUCGAGUCGGCCUGCGCGGAAGAUGUAACGGGGCUAAAACUAUGUGCCGAAGCUGCGGAUGUAUACUUUGUAUACGUGGUAGGGGAGCGUUCUGUAAGCCGAUGAAGGUGUGUUGAGAAGCAUGCUGGAGGUAUCAGAAGUGCGAAUGCUGACGUGAGUAACGACAAAACGGGUGAAAAACCCGUUCGCCGAAAGACCAAGGGUUCCAGUCCAACGUUAAUCGGGGCUGGGUGAGUCGACCCCUAAGGCGAGGCCGAAAGGCGUAGUCGAUGGGAAAAUGGUUAAUAUUCCAUUACUUCUGUGUAAUGCGAUGAGAGGACGGAGAAGGCUAAAUCAGCCUGGCGUUGGUUGUCCAGGUGAAAGGAUGUAGGCAUGUAUCUUAGGCAAAUCCGGGGUACUCUAUGCUGAGAUCUGAUAGCAAGCUGUACUUGUACAGCGAAGUGGUUGAUGCCAUGCUUCCAGGAAAAGUCUCUAAGCUUCAGUUACACAGGAAUCGUACCCGAAACCGACACAGGUGGUCAGGUCGAGUAGACCAAGGCGCUUGAGAGAACUCUGCUGAAGGAACUAGGCAAAAUGGUACCGUAACUUCGGGAGAAGGUACGCUGUUGUUGGUGAUGGAACUCGCUUCCUGAGCUGACGACAGCCGCAGAAACCAGGCCGCUGCAACUGUUUAUUAAAAACAUAGCACUCUGCAAACACGAAAGUGGACGUAUAGGGUGUGAUGCCUGCCCGGUGCUGGAAGGUUAAUUGAUGGGGUUAGCGUAAGCGAAGCUCUUGAUCGAAGCCCCAGUAAACGGCGGCCGUAACUAUAACGGUCCUAAGGUAGCGAAAUUCCUUGUCGGGUAAGUUCCGACCUGCACGAAUGGCAUAAUGAUGGCGGCGCUGUCUCCAGCAGAGGCUCAGUGAAAUCGAAAUCGCUGUGAAGAUGCAGUGUACCCGCGGCUAGACGGAAAGACCCCGUGAACCUUUACUGCAGCUUGACACUGAACUUUGACCUUACUUGUGUAGGAUAGGUGGGAGGCUUUGAAGCUGGAACGCUAGUUCCAGUGGAGCCGUCCUUGAAAUACCACCCUGGUAAUGUUGAGGUUCUAACUCUGUCCCGUGAUCCGGGACGAGGACCGUGUCUGGUGGGUAGUUUGACUGGGGCGGUCUCCUCCUAAAGAGUAACGGAGGAGUACGAAGGUGCGCUCAGCGUGGUCGGAAAUCACGCGUAGAGUAUAAAGGCAAAAGCGCGCUUAACUGCGAGACCCACAAGUCGAGCAGGUACGAAAGUAGGUCUUAGUGAUCCGGUGGUUCUGUAUGGAAGGGCCAUCGCUCAACGGAUAAAAGGUACUCUGGGGAUAACAGGCUGAUACCGCCCAAGAGUUCAUAUCGACGGCGGUGUUUGGCACCUCGAUGUCGGCUCAUCUCAUCCUGGGGCUGAAGCAGGUCCCAAGGG
rnacentral:rRNA from 1 species